UCCAGAGUUUUCACUUGGGCAUAUACUAAAAUCAGAAUGAUACAGAGAAGAUUAUCAUGGCCCCUGCACAAGGUUGACAUGCCAGUUCAUGAAGCAUUCCAUAUUUUU